AUGGACUAAAUAUAUAACUAAUUAGAAUUUCUCAUUGGGUUGUUUUCUUGUCAAUGAGUGUCAUUCAAAACUGUAACUAUAUGAAGGCUGUUGAUUUUAUGCAUCAAGAAAAUAGAAGACGAGGCAUUUUAGUGGGGAUGGCUGGUGUAACUAGAUUUGUAUGAAAAUGCAUUUGGUCUUGAUUUUCUUUGUCUUCAAAUAAUAUUUCAUUUACUUUACUUUUUUCACCAUAGUACAUCCCAUGCUUUACUGGGUGAGUAGAGGCAGUUGUACAUCUGCUUUGCCCGUGUUUUGAGCCUGGCAGAUAUGAGAAGUCCAAUUCAGAAGCCAUGUGCUGAAAAGCAAGAUAUAUUAGCGCAGGCUCAGUGCCAUGUUCAUAUGGUUACAUGGCUUUUGGAUAGAGCUGGCUGACAUCUGGCUUGUGUGAAGUGUGGUAGAGUAAAAUCCCAACUGUCUACACCUAUUCAUCUGGACAUACCCAACAUGUGGUUGAAGUAACAAGUUGUAAUUCACUGCUUAGUAAACUUGCUUCACCAUUUUUAGUUUCUUUUCUGACUUGUGUAUUAGCAGGUUACAUCCUGUGUUUACACAGUAUCUUCAUUGCUCUAUCAUUCGUCUUAUGCCUGUCAUUAAUACACCUAAAGCACUGUACAGAUAAAUAACUAUAGCUGCUCAAGAUUACUACAUUCUCAGAAUAAAAACUGGCUUUACAUCUACUUGGGAAUAAUCAUGAAAUAAUGUUGGUUUAGAAAAGAAUUGAGGAGCCAUGCCUUUCUAGAGAAGUUUGGAUCUCCAGUUUCCUUUAUUUCAAGAGAAGUAUAACUUUUCAAAAAGCUUCCUAUUUGUGUUUUCAGUAAAGACAAUAGUCUAAAGAAAAAAUCCUUUAAAUCAUUGCUAGUCAAAACUUGGUCACUAAAUUAUUAGAAAAUGCUUGGAUGAGUUGUAGUUUACUAUGAAUUUACAACUUUUGUCUCAAUCUGUUUAUGAUAUGGGUAUCCCAAUGCAGAGAGUUCGUAAAAUUGGAUUGAGGUUAAAUGUUUUAAAUUACUUAAGUCCUAAAGCUUCUGUAUGAAUUUUAAGAAGGCUGGGAGAAAGCAUGCUGGUUAAAGUUCAGGUCUUUGUAUGAUUUAUGAAUGAUUUGCUUCUGUUUUAGGUUAUGAGCCUCUCAGUACCUUCAUCAGUUUUUCAAGAAAGCCAGGGCACAAUGCCUAUGUUAUAUAGGCAAGCAGAAACUGGAGUGGAAAAAGAAAGUUCCUACUACAAAAGCAGCAAAGCUGGAAUGUGCUGUGGAGACUCAGAUUGUUUUUCAGCUCUGUGGGUGUGUAUGGUUGGUCAGAGAUUGCAUCCUGGACCUGAACUCCCUGCUCAAAGCUUCACCUCAACCACUCCAUGGCAUGAAGGUGAAUCAGUAGCUCCUCACAGAACAUUUCUAACUGAAAAAAAUAGAAAUGUAUUGGCCAACUCAAAGUAUGACCAGUGCUUAUGCUGGUUCCUUCAAGGAUAUUGAGUCUCCCAGUCCUUUACACUUUGAAAAGAAUGAUUGGAAACCUUGAACACCUGCCUUAAAUCAAAAGGCUUAUGUAGCUCAAAAUAUUAAUCUUACCUAAGUUAAAAGAAAACAUCCACAAGAAGGAGAGAUUUCUGUUUUAAUCUGUUAGUAAAAAAAUAUUUUAACAGUUUAUAUAAUAAUAUAAUUUAUCAGUGGAAUAACUUGCCAGAAAUGUGGUGGAUUCUUUGCCACCAGCAGAUAUUUGGAAGGAUACCUAAGCUAACUUUAGAAGAUAGAUGACAGCUUAGCCAUGUGCU